CCCAUCUCUCCUAAAAAUACAGAAUUAGCCGGGCGUGGCGGUGCAUGCCUGUAAUCCCAGCUACUCCGGAGGCUGAGGCAGGAGAAUUUCUUGAACCCGGGAGGCGGAGGUUGUGGUGAGCUGAGACCAGGCCAUUGCACUCCAGCCUGGACAAUGAGUGAAACCCCGUCUCAAAAAAAAAAAGAAUGUUAAUAACAAUACUUCAUUAGAUAGUUUCUUGUUGAAGCAAUUUGUAAUUCCCGGAAAGUUGUUAGCCAUGCUUCAAGUUUACAAAUAGGUGAAGUUUUAAGGUAUCUAGAGUUUAAGUAGUUGGAUUGGUUUGUCUGGCAAAAGUAAAUAGUUGGGAUGUAAGGGUAAAUUUUUGAAAAUUACUCUUAACGUUGUAAGAUUUUAGAUGCAUGCCUUUAUGCUUGGUGAGCCUCUGCAUUCGAGUAUUUAGCCCUGCGCUUAUUUUUAUUCCCAGGAAGAGAGAAGGGCACAGUUACCUAAGUAUCAACGUAAUCUUCCUCGGCCAGGACAGGCCCCCAUCGGUAAUCCACCAGUUGGACCAAUUGGAGGUAUGAUGCCACCACAGCCAGGCAUCCCACAGCAACAAGGAAUGAGACCCCCAAUGCCACCUCAUGGUCAGUAUGGUGGUCAUCAUCAAGGCAUGCCAGGAUACCUUCCUGGUGCUAUGCCCCCGUAUGGGCAGGGACCGCCAAUGGUGCCCCCUUACCAGGGUGGGCCUCCUCGACCUCCGAUGGGAAUGAGACCUCCUGUAAUGUCGCAAGGUGGCCGUUACUGAUCUUACUUCAUCCAGUCUAAUAGCCCUGCCAUAGGACAGGCUGAGGCUGAGUCUCAGUGUUGCCCUGUUCAGUCUGAGGCAAAAUUUCAGCAUUUGCUACUUACUGGUAGAGAAGAAAAAUCCCACAGCCCUGCCAGUACAGGUUAGUUUAAUCUGUAAGUACCUGAUGUUCCUAUUUUUUUCAAACAUAUCCAU
rnacentral:lncRNA from 1 species